AUGAGAUUGAAGAUUUCACCUCCAGUUCAGACAACCAAAUUCCUUGAAAGAGAGCAAGAGAACUCAUCUUCCACGGAUGGAGUACUGCAAUCAGAAGUUCUCCCCCAGAACCUACCUUUGAAGCCAGACACCCAGCCCCAAUGAAAGGAUUUCUGAAAUCUGAGAGGGAGAAGGAAGGAAGGAGAAACCGAAGGAAGAGAAAAGGAGGCUGAAGCAGCUUUGUUUUUACCUCAAGCGCACAUGCGCAUGCUUGAGAGGCAAGGAGGGGACAGAGAUGCUACUUGCCAGUGAGGUUGUAAACACCACAAAUAUCAUGUCCCUACUUCGCGGGUGGUCCUGGAACGUAACCCCCAUGAUAAGUGAGGGAACACUGUACUCUGUUUAUAUUGGUUGUAUGCUGCCAUGAGAAGGGCGGGAUAGAAAUGUUGUAAUAAAUAAAUAAAUAAAUAAAUAAAUAAAUGGCAUCCAAAUAUAUUUCUCCAUGCCUUCAAAACCAGCCUCAGCUAAGGAUAGUGUGUCCCCUCUGAAUGAAUGCCUGGAGGGUGUGAUGGGCUGGAUAAGGAAAAACAAAUUGAAUUUGAAUUUACACAAAACAGAGGUGCUUUCCAUCAAUGGUCCUAAUCUAGGGAUGAAGGUGUGCCAACCAGUUCUGGAUGCAGUUACACUCCUCCUGUUUGCAUCUUGGGAGUGCUCCUGGAUCCCUCUCUCCAAAUGUCAGUUCAGGUGGAUGCGAUAAUCAGGAGUGCUUACUACCAGCUUCGGCUGAUUCCUAGACUUGGAGGACCUAAAGUUGGUAGUGUACACACUGGUAGUCUCAAAGUUGGACAUUUGCAAUGUGUUUUACAUUGGGCUAUUUCUGUACCAAGUUUGGAAACUCCAAUUGGUUCAAAAUAUGGCAGCCAGAUUGGUUACUGGAACAUCCAGGAGUGAGCACGUUACACUAAAAUCACUUCACUGGCUGCCAAUUAGUUUCUGGGCAAAGCACAAAGUGUUGGUUUUGGUCUUUAAAGUCUUACAGGAUCACCUUCUCCUGUACAAAGACUUAAGUCCCCUGGGGAGCGUCUACUCUAUUCCCCCAGAACCCGACUGACGACCGUCACCCAGAGCACCUUUUCAUUGGCCACCCCAAAACUGUGGAACAACUUGCCGGAAGAGCACUGACAGCUAAAUGAGCUGUCAGAAUUUGAAACACACAUGAAGAUCUAUCUCUUCUGGUGGGUCUCACCAGCCGAUUUUAACCACAAAAUUUAAACUUGCAUUUUUUUUGUAUUUUAUUAUGCAUUUUGUUUUAAUUACGUUUCAAUGUGUGUAUUUUGUAGAAUGUUUUUUAGAUGAUCGAGUGUUUUUGUGAUGUUUUAACCCACCUCUAGUCAUGAGAAGAGGAGGGUAAGAAAUAAAAUGAUGAUGAUGACUUUUGACAGCAACUUUUACCACAUUUCCUUAAACGUUUACAUGCAAACUCUCAUUAAACUAUGUUCACAUCACAGGUUUCAGCAAUCUAUCCUGAAAUUUCCUGAUGCAAAUAUAACAUUUCACUCUUGUUAUUAUAACAUAUUAAUGGAUGAGAAACAUUUUUAUAUGAAGAGGAAGAGAAAGAAUUUACUCCAUUACUCAAAACUGUUUCAGAAACAGAAAUAUGAUGAUACAUCUGCAAAUGAAAUAAGAAAACAUAUUUGUCCCCAGUUUUAGAAUUCUACAAAUCUAGAAUGCUAAAGAUACCUAUUUUAUAGGUCUUCCCU